AGCUUUGCUUAGGAGGCGUCGAGCGGCGGACGGGUGAGUAAUGCAUCAGGAAUCUGCCCGGUAGUGGGGGAUAACUUGAGGAAACUCAAGCUAAUACCGCAUACGCCCCAAGGGGGAAAGCAGGGGAUCUUCGGACCUUGCGCUAUCGGAUGAGCUUAUGUCGGAUUAGCUAGUUGGUGAGGUAAUGGCUCACCAAGGCCGCGAUCCGUAGCUGGUCUGAGAGGAUGAUCAGCCACAUCGGGACUGAGACACGGCCCGAACUCCUACGGGAGGCAGCAGUGGGGAAUAUUGGACAAUGGGCGAAAGCCUGAUCCAGCCAUGCCGCGUGUGUGAAGAAGGCCCUCGGGUUGUAAAGCACUUUCAGCGAGGAAGAAGGCUUGUGGGCUAAUACCCCGCAAGAAGGACAUCACUCGCAGAAGAAGCACCGGCUAACUCCGUGCCAGCAGCCGCGGUAAUACGGAGGGUGCAAGCGUUAAUCGGAAUUACUGGGCGUAAAGCGCGCGUAGGCGGCUUGAUAAGCCGGUUGUGAAAGCCCCGGGCUCAACCUGGGAACGGCAUCCGGAACUGUCAGGCUAGAGUGCAGGAGAGGAAGGUAGAAUUCCCGGUGUAGCGGUGAAAUGCGUAGAGAUCGGGAGGAAUACCAGUGGCGAAGGCGGCCUUCUGGACUGACACUGACGCUGAGGUGCGAAAGCGUGGGUAGCAAACAGGAUUAGAUACCCUGGUAGUCCACGCCGUAAACGAUGUCGACUAGCCCGUUGGGGUCCUCGAGACCUUUGUGGCGCAGUUAACGCGAUAAGUCGACCGCCUGGGGGAGUACGGCCCGCAAGGUUAAAACUCAAAUGAAUUUGACGGGGGCCCGCACAAGCGGUGGAGCAUGUGGUUUAAUUCGAUGCAACGCGAAGAACCUUACCUACUCUUGACAUCGAGCGAACUUUCCAGAGAAUGGAUUGGUGCCUUCGGGAACGCUCAGACAGGUGCUGCAUUGGCCGCCGUCAGCUCCGGGUUGGGAAAUGGUUGGGGUUAAGUCCCCGGAACGAACGGCAACCCUUUGUCCCUAUUUUGCCAACGGAUUCCGUCCGGGAACUCCUAAGGGAAAAUUGCCGGGGGCAAACCCGGAGGAAAGGGGGG
rnacentral:rRNA from 1 species